rnacentral:lncRNA from 1 species
GGGAGAGCUGGACAACACUACUUCUAAGGACUCUCUACCUGUCCCCUAGAUGCGCCUCGGCCUGCAGUCAUCUCCAAGGGACGGGAGCCACGCAAAACCUUCCUACCUAAUCACUGCCCCCUAUUGUAACUCUCCCUAGGGCUUGUGGGAUAAAAGUGCAUGGGACUAGGGAGAGGAGUGGCUCUGCAGUACCCAUGACAACAUACCACUCUGUGGUUUUUGGCUGUGUUGUUUUAUUUUUUGGACCAGUGUGAUACUUGGCCCCCACUCUCAAGAUCGCCGAGGACCAUUUCUUUCUACUGAGAUGUUCCAGUUAUUAAGUUCAAGAAUGCUGUCACUCUGGAUUUCUCUGUCCAGUUACUCUGCUGGGAGCACCUAAUUUCUCACCUGGGAUGUCUACAGAUGCCUCCUGAGUAGAACCUGCUUCCGAGGACUGUGAGGCCUGAUGUAUGGGGUCUGUGAAGGGAAGAGACGGAGGGCUGGAUACAUCGUUACAGCAUUUGAAAUCCCGAAGCCCUUCCUCGUAGCCUCCACCCUCGUUCUACAGGUGAGACAACAGAAACCUCGAGAUGUUACAACCAGCACCCAUAGCCAGUUAGUAGUUGGGCAGUCUCUGCUCACCUAACUCUCCAGGCCUGCUUGCUGACUGCUUCCAACUAUGGAAGUG